UGCGACCCAGGUCAGGCGGGAUCACCCGUGAGUUUAAG
rnacentral:rRNA from 1 species